UACGUAGGGUGCAAGCGUUGUCCGGAAUUAUUGGGCGUAAAGGGCGCGUAGGCGGCUUUUCAAGUGACGGGUGAAAUCCCUCGGCUUAACCGAGGAACUGCCUGUCAGACUGGAAGGCUUGAGACCGGGAGAGGUGAGUGGAAUUCCUGGUGUAGCGGUGGAAUGCGCAGAUAUCAGGAGAACACCCGUGGCGAAGGCGGGCUCUCG
rnacentral:rRNA from 1 species